rnacentral:rRNA from 1 species
AUUGAACGCUGGCGGCAUGCUUUACACAUGCAAGUCGAACGGCAGCGGGGAGGAGCUUGCUUCUCUGCCGGCGAGUGGCGAACGGGUGAGUAAUACAUCGGAACGUGUCGAGAAGAGGGGGAUAACCACCCGAAAGGGUGGCUAAUACCGCAUAAAUUCUGAGGAAGAAAGCUGGGGACCUAGGAAUAGGCCUAGCGCUUUUUGAGCGGCCGAUGUCGGAUUAGCUAGUUGGUGAGGUAAAGGCUCACCAAGGCGAAGAUCUGUAGCGGGUCUGAGAGGAGGAUCCGCCACACUGGGACUUGAACACGGCCCCGGCUCCUACGGGAGGCAGCAGUGGGGAAUUUUGGACAAUGGGGGCAAACCUUGUCCAGCCAUGCCGCGUGUAUGAAGAAGGCCUUAGGGUUGUAAAGUACUUUUGUUAGGGAAAAAAAGACAGCUGUGAAUAAUGGCUGAUACUGACGGUACCUAAAGAAUAAGCACCGGCUAACUACGUG